AUGCAAGUCGAACGGCAGCACAGGAGAGCUUGCUCUCUGGGUGGCGAGUGGCGGACGGGUGAGGAAUAUAUCGGAAUCUACCCUUUCGUGGGGGAUAACGUAGGGAAACUUACGCUAAUACCGCAUACGAACUGAGGUUGAAAGCGGCGGACCGCAAGGCGUCGCGCGGAUGGAUGAGCCGAUAUCCGAUUAGCUAGUUGGCGGGGUAAAGGCCCACCAAGGCGACGAUCGGUAGCUGGUCUGAGAGGAUGAUCAGCCACACUGGAACCGAGACACGGUCCAGACUCCUACGGGAGGCAGCAGUGGGGAAUAUUGGACAAUGGGCGCAAGCCUGAUCCAGCCAUGCCGCGUGUGUGAAGAAGGCCUUCGGGUUGUAAAGCACUUUUGUUGGGAAAGAAAAGCGGUCGGUUAAUACCCGGUCGUUCUGACGGUACCCAAAGAAUAAGCACCGGCUAACUUCGUGCCAGCAGCCGCGGUAAUACGAAGGGUGCAAGCGUUACUCGGAAUUACUGGGCGUAAAGCGUGCGUAGGUGGUUUGUUAAGUCAGAUGUGAAAGCCCCGGGCUCAACCUGGGAAUUGCAUUUGAUACUGGCAGACUAGUGUGCGGUAGAGGAGAGUGGAAUUCCCGGUGUAGCAGUGAAAUGCGUAGAGAUCGGGAGGAACAUCAGUUGCGAAGGCGGCUCUCUGGACCAGCACUGACACUGAGGCACGAAAGCGUGGGGAGCAAACAGGAUUAGAUACCCUGGUAGUCCACGCCCUAAACGGUGCGAACUGGACGUUGGGAUCAAUUGAGAUUUCAGUGUCGAAGCUAACGCGUUAAGUUCGCCGCCUGGGGAGUACGGUCGCAAGACUGAAACUCNAAGGAAUUGACGGGGGCCCGCACAAGCGGUGGAGUAUGUGGUUCAAUUCGAUGCUACGCGCAGAACCUUACCUGGUCUUGACAUGUCGAGAACUUUCU
rnacentral:rRNA from 1 species